UGCAAGUCGAGCGGGGAAGAGUAGCUUGCUACUUUACCUAGCGGCGGACGGGUGAGUAAUGCUUAGGAAUCUGCCUAUUAGUGGGGGACAACAUCUCGAAAGGGAUGCUAAUACCGCAUACGUCCUACGGGAGAAAGCAGGGGACCUUCGGGCCUUGCGCUAAUAGAUGAGCCUAAGUCGGAUUAGCUAGUUGGUGGGGUAAAGGCCUACCAAGGCGACGAUCUGUAGCGGGUCUGAGAGGAUGAUCCGCCACACUGGGACUGAGACACGGCCCAGACUCCUACGGGAGGCAGCAGUGGGGAAUAUUGGACAAUGGGGGGAACCCUGAUCCAGCCAUGCCGCGUGUGUGAAGAAGGCCUUUUGGUUGUAAAGCACUUUAAGCGAGGAGGAGGCUACCGAGAUUAAUACUCUUGGAUAGUGGACGUUACUCGCAGAAUAAGCACCGGCUAACUCUGUGCCAGCAGCCGCGGUAAUACAGAGGGUGCAAGCGUUAAUCGGAUUUACUGGGCGUAAAGCGCGCGUAGGUGGCCAAUUAAGUCAAAUGUGAAAUCCCCGAGCUUAACUUGGGAAUUGCAUUCGAUACUGGUUGGCUAGAGUAUGGGAGAGGAUGGUAGAAUUCCAGGUGUAGCGGUGAAAUGCGUAGAGAUCUGGAGGAAUACCGAUGGCGAAGGCAGCCAUCUGGCCUAAUACUGACACUGAGGUGCGAAAGCAUGGGGAGCAAACAGGAUUAGAUACCCUGGUAGUCCAUGCCGUAAACGAUGUCUACUAGCCGUUGGGGCCUUUGAGGCUUUAGUGGCGCAGCUAACGCGAUAAGUAGACCGCCUGGGGAGUACGGUCGCAAGACUAAAACUCAAAUGAAUUGACGGGGGCCCGCACAAGCGGUGGAGCAUGUGGUUUAAUUCGAUGCAACGCGAAGAACCUUACCUGGUCUUGACAUAGUAAGAACUUUCCAGAGAUGGAUUGGUGCCUUCGGGAACUUACAUACAGGUGCUGCAUGGCU
rnacentral:rRNA from 1 species